GGGUCACUGAUGAGGACUCAUGUUGCCUUGAAGAGAGAUGAUGACUUAAUAUGUUCAUGCUGAGGCCC